AGGGAUCAUUAAUGAAUGGCUUUUGCCUUCAACUCUGUAAACCCGCUGGAAGGAAGAUGUGCUUUGGUGCUCCGGCGCCUCGUUUAUGCGGUAAAGUAUUUGUCUGAAUCUAAAAGCAAGAAUUAAAACUUUCAACAAAGGAUCUCUUGGCUCUCGCAUCGAUGAAGAACGCAGCGAAGCGCGAAAUGUAGUGUGAAUUGCAGAAUUCAGUGAAUCAUCGAAUCUUUGAACGCACCUUGCGCUCCUUGGUAUUCCGAGGAGCAUGCCUGUUUGAGUGUCAUUAAUAUAUAUAUCAACCUUCUCUUGUUGGAGUGGUUUGGAUGUGGGGGUUUGCUGGCCUCUUAAAAGGUUCAGCUCCCUUGAAAUGCAUUAGCAGAACGGACCUGUUCAUUGGUGUGAUAACUAUCUACGCUAUUGAAUGUGAGGGGAUGUUCAGCUUUCUAACUGUCCUUGGACAAUUUAUCAUUUUAUGUGACCUCAAAUCANGUAGGACUACCCGCUGAACUUAAGCAUAUCAAUAAGCGGAGGAAAAGAAACUAACAAGGAUUCCCCUAGUAACUGCNAGUGAAGCGGGAAAAGCUCAAAUUUAAAAUCUGGCGGUCUUUUGGCUGUCCGAGUUGUAAUCUAGAGAAGUGUUAUCCGCGCUGGACCGUGUACAAGUCUCCUGGAAUGGAGCAUCAUAGAGGGUGAGAAUCCCGUCUUUGACAUGGACUGCCAGGGCUUUGUGAUGCGCUCUCAAAGAGUCGAGUUGUUUGGGAAUGCAGCUCAAAAUGGGUGGUAAAUUCCAUCUAAAGCUAAAUAUUGGCGAGAGACCGAUAGCGAACAAGUACCGUGAGGGAAAGAUGAAAAGAACUUUGGAAAGAGAGUUAAACAGUACGUGAAAUUGCUGAAAGGGAAACGCUUGAAGUCAGUCGCGUUGUCCAGAGAUCAACCCUGCUUUUGCUUGGUGCACUUUCUGGUUCAACGGGUCAGCAUCAAUUUUGACUAUUGGAAAAAGGUUGAGGGAAUGUGGCAUCUUUGGAUGUGUUAUAGCCCUUGGUUGUAUACAAUGGUUGGGAUUGAGGAACUCAGCACGCCGCAAGGCCCGGGUUUUAA
rnacentral:rRNA from 1 species